UACCUCGUUGCUCAGCUGGCACAGCGUGCGCUGUUCAAAAGCGUAGGCCGCGACCAAGCGUGGGUUCAAAUCCCACCGAGGCUA
rfam:Echinostoma caproni strain Egypt genome assembly, scaffold: ECPE_scaffold0029483